CAAAAGGGUGCUUGCUCUACGUUUAUAUGGCACACGCGAUCGUCUUUCUUGAAAAAGGAUUCGGUUAGGUGAGGUAUGGUGAUCAAGAUAUACCUAGCACGUAAUUUUUUUCUCCGGAAAGCUGUUGACUGCUAAUAAUUUACUGAGUUUGUUUGACAUAGCUGUCGC